rnacentral:rRNA from 1 species
AACCUGCCCUUGACUCUGGGAUAAGCACUGGAAACGGUGUCUAACACCGGAUACGAACUUCAGCCGCAUGGCUAGGAGUUGGAAAGAAUUUCGGUCAAGGAUGGACUCGCGGCCUAUCAGCUAGUUGGUGAGGUAAUGGCCCACCAAGGCGACGACGGGUAGCCGGCCUGAGAGGGUGACCGGCCACACUGGGACUGAGACACGGCCCAGACUCCUACGGGAGGCAGCAGUGGGGAAUAUUGCACAAUGGGCGCAAGCCUGAUGCAGCAACGCCGCGUGAGG